rnacentral:rRNA from 1 species
GACGAACGCUGGCGGCGUGCUUAACACAUGCAAGUCGAGCGGUGAGGCCCCUUCGGGGGUACACGAGCGGCGAACGGGUGAGUAACACGUGAGUAACCUGCCCCAUUCUUUGGAAUAACCAGUGGAAACGCUGGCUAAUGCCGAAUAUGACCAUCGAAGGCAUCUUCUGGUGGUGGAAAGCUCCGGCGGAGUGGGAUGGACUCGCGGCCUAUCAGCUUGUUGGUGAGGUAACGGCUCACCAAGGCGACGACGGGUAGCCGGCCUGAGAGGGUGACCGGCCACACUGGGACUGAGACACGGCCCAGACUCCUACGGGAGGCAGCAGUGGGGAAUAUUGGACAAUGGGCGAAAGCCUGAUCCAGCGACGCCGCGUGAGGGAUGACGGCCUUCGGGUUGUAAACCUCUUUCAGCAGGGACGAAGCGAAAGUGACGGUACCUGCAGAAGAAGGACCGGCCAACUACGUGCCAGCAGCCGCGGUAAAAC